GUCCAAGAGAGCUGAAGUACGCAAGGCUAAAUCAACCCAGUGACUGUAUCACUUCACCAUUCAGACCAGUAGAAAUCAUAGUUGCAAGACUGGAGCCCACAUUCUCCACCUUUUGCAUGCAGAGAGUCAACAGCCUAACAACAGGAACUUGAGAAGCUGGCAAGGGGAAAUUCAGGCUGAUGAGAAGUGCUAGAUCCUAGAAAGGUUAGCAGAGAUCUUGGGAUUUGUUCUUCCUCCUCCUCUAUACCAUUCAAUGAGGCAAGAAUGAAUGCCCUGGAGGUAGCUGUACACUGCCAACUCAAGCCUUUAAAAUGAACACAAAAUCACAGCCGAGCCUGAACAAGGAAAUGUAGCCCGAUGAAGAAACUGUAAUUCAGAAGACAGCAGUGAAACAACUUCAUUGAAAUUGCUCCUCACGGAAAGAAGAUAUGUGAAACACUGUGCAUCAUCUGUCUAUAGUUGGGGAGGGAAGAGAAUACACAUUAAAAACUGACAUAAGCAGAGAAUAAAAUAA